rnacentral:rRNA from 1 species
CCACUUUAGAGCAAUUCAAAUGAGGUACAGCCCAUUUGAUAUAGGAUACAACCUUAACUAACGGGUAACAUUAAAUCUACACCUCCAAGUAGGCCUAAGAGCAGCCACCCUUUAAAAAAGCGUCAAAGCUUAAUCAUGUUCACAUCAAUUUUUAAUCUUCAAUUGACCCCUUUUACCUUACUGAGAAUUUCUAUAUCAUAUAGAAUAUUUUAUGCUAAAACUAGUAACAAGAGUAAACCCUCUCCCAAUGCAAACACAAGCCAGCAAGAACCCAUCACUGGCAAUUAACAGACUUAAACAAAAGUAGCAACAUCUCUAGAAAACCCUACUCAUCCCAACUGUUAACCUUAUACCAGAGCAUUUCAGGAAAGAUUAAAAGAAAAAGAAGGAACUCGGCAAACACUAAUCCCGCCUGUUUACCAAAAACAUCGCCUCUUGCCCCCAUAAGAGGUCAAGCCUGCCCAGUGACUUUGUUCAACGGCCGCGGUAUCCUAACCGUGCAAAGGUAGCGUAAUCACUUGUUUUCUAAAUAAAGACCAGUAUGAAAGGCAUCACGAGGAUUAAACUGUCUCCUUUUUCCAAUCAGUGAAACUAAUCUCCCCGUGAAGAAGCGGGGAUUAUCCUAUAAGACGAGAA